AAUGAACGCUGGCGGCGGGCCUAACACAUGCAAGUCGAACGGCAGCACAAUAAGCGUUCGCCCUUACGGGUAGCGACUGGCGGAUGGGUGAGGCAUACAUCAGCUUCCUCUUUUUCUUGGGGGAUAUCGUAGGAACACUUAUACUAAUAGCGCAUACGACCUACGGGUGAAAGCAGGAGAUCUUUGCGUCUUGCGUGAUAGAUUGAGACGAAGUCGGAUUUGCUAGUUGGCGGGGUAAAGGCACACCAAGGCGACGAUCCGUAGCCGGGCUGAGAGGGUGAUCGGCCACACUGGAACUGAGACACGGUCCAGACUCCUACGGGAGGCAGCAGUGGGGAAUCUUGCGCAAUGGGCGAAAGCCUGAUGCAGCAAGGCCGCGUGGGUGAAGAAGGCCUUCGGAUUGUAAAGCCCUUUUAUUGGGGAAGAACAGCAGCAGAAUUAUACCUCGCUGUUCUGACGGUACCCAAACAAAAAGCACCGGCUAACUACGUG
rnacentral:rRNA from 1 species